rnacentral:rRNA from 1 species
CAGGAUGGACCCGCGUCUGAUUAGCUAGUUGGUAAGGUAACGGCUUACCAAGGCGACGAUCAGUAGCCGACCUGAGAGGGUGAUCGGCCACAUUGGAACUGAGACACGGUCCAAACUCCUACGGGAGGCAGCAGUGGGGAAUAUUGCACAAUGGGCGAAAGCCUGAUGCAGCAACGCCGCGUGAGUGAUGAAGGCCUUCGGGUCGUAAAACUCUGUCCUCAAGGAAGAUAAUGACGGUACUUGAGGAGGAAGCCCCGGCUAACUACGUGCCAGCAGCCGCGGUAAUACGUAGGGGGCUAGCGUUAUCCGGAUUUACUGGGCGUAAAGGGUGCGUAGGCGGUCUUUCAAGUCAGGAGUGAAAGGCUACGGCUCAACCGUAGUAAGCUCUUGAAACUGGGAGACUUGAGUGCAGGAGAGGAGAGUGGAAUUCCUAGUGUAGCGGUGAAAUGCGUAGAUAUUAGGAGGAACACCAGUUGCGAAGGCGGCUCUCUGGACUGUAACUGACGCUGAGGCACGAAAGCGUGGGGAGCAAACAGGAUUAGAUACCCUGGUAGUCCACGCUGUAAACGAUGAGUACUAGGUGUCGGGGGUUACCCCCCUCGGUGCCGCAGCUAACGCAUUAAGUACUCCGCCUGGGAAGUACGCUCGCAAGAGUGAAACUCAAAGGAAUUGAC